UGAACUAGAAUUCAGAGAAAAGAGCCCCAUUUAUGAACAACUUUGGAAAUCAAACUACACUCUGCAUCUUUUAGGAAGACAAGAUGAAGAUAUCAGUUUCUGGCCUGACAGAAGUGCGAGAGAUGGGGAGAUAGACAUAUGGCGAAUGGAUUUCCCCACUGUUAUCUACUUUCCGGACUAAUUUCAACGCAUCCAGCCCAUCCGAAUGCAGCACAGAGAGUAAGCAACUACUGUUCGUAAGCACAUUCCUCCCUGUAUCCUCACUGAACCUGCAGGCGCACGACAUCUUGUGACUGAAACAAGUAGAGAUGCAGCGAUCAAGAGCAACUACCAUCACAUCCCUUAAUUCGACCAGCAAGCCUUUAACUGCUGAUGCUGUUGCCGAACUAAGAAUAAUCACUAGCUGCAUGAGGCCAACACAGAGAUGUGGCAGAUAAUAGCAAUCCCCCCUCUUGGCAGGAGAAGGGAGUGCAAGGCACUAGUACAAGCACAACACAGACCAUCUAAUGAGUGCAACCAGACUAUCUCUAGGCAGGCUCAAAAGAUCAAGCUUUGUAAAAGAGACAAAGGCAUCGUAGAGACAAUACCAGAAACUAUAUCCUACAAGAGUAAAGAAUCAGAUUCCCCUCGAUCCUCAUUCCGGGAAGAGACACAUGACCGCUUUGCCAUCUGUACACGUUUCCCAUUUCACAGCUAAUGAUGAACACCUCGACAUAAGGAAGAAAACAUGAUCACUGGCUGUGUUAGAAGAAAAGUCUUUAAGAACCAUGGUUACGGGCUUACACAGACGAGUCAGUCAGCAACGAUCUGGCUUACAUCUGUGCCCCUCAAUAUCAAGCUGUACAGACAUGUGGAUGUUCUGUAGAUGACUACCAGUUUCAUCUCGAAAGCUGACAACCAAGUGUGAAUAUAGCAAACGACGACGACAACAACAACCACAACAACUCCAACAAAUACAUCAUCAACAGCAAUU